rnacentral:rRNA from 1 species
AUUACGGGGUGCAGCAGGCGCGAAACCUCCGCAAUGUGAGAAAUCGCGACGGGGGGAUCCCAAGUGCCAUUCUUAACGGGAUGGCUUUUCAUUAGUGUAAAGAGCUUUUGGAAUAAGAGCUGGGCAAGACCGGUGCCAGCCGCCGCGGUAAUUCAA